rnacentral:misc_RNA from 1 species
AAGGAUCAUUGUCGAUGCCUCAAUCCAGACCGACCCGCGGACACGUUUCACAACCCGGGACGGCCGAAACUGCCUGGCAGCUCGGCCUCCCUGAGUGUCGGGACGGAGCCACGCUCCUUGUCCCGGCACAACAACAACAAACCCCGGCGCGGAAUGCGCCAAGGAAGCAACAAUCCGUACAGCGCGCCCCGGUCGGCCCGGCAACGGUGCCCGCACGGGGGACGUCGCAACACUCGAGUCCAAAACGACUCUCGGCAACGGAUAUCUCGGCUCUUGCAUCGAUGAAGAACGCAGCGAAAUGCGAUACUUGGUGUGAAUUGCAGAAUCCCGUGAACCAUCGAGUCUUUGAACGCAAGUUGCGCCCGAAGCCCGGUAACGGCCAAGGGCACGCCUGCCUGGGUGUCACCAAUCGCCGCCCCAACCCCUGUGCCUCUGGCCACGGAGCGGGGCGAACGCUGGCUUCCCGUGAGCACCGCCUCGCGGUUGGCUGAAAAUCGGGUUCGUGGCGGACGCAGUGCCAUGACAGAUGGUGGUUGAGCAUGUUCUCGAGGCCAGUCAUGCAUGCGUGCGACCUCCCUACCCAGCAGUGACCCGCGAGCGACGCAGAUCGCCCAUGAUGCGACCUCAGGUCAGGC